CAGUCGCCACGGUAAUACGAAGGGGGCUAGCGUUACUCGGAAUUACUGGGCGUAAAGCGUGCGUAGGUGGUGGUUUAAGUCCGUUGUGAAAGCCCUGGGCUCAACCUGGGAAUUGCAGUGGAUACUGGGUCACUAGAGUGUGGUAGAGGAUAGUGGAAUUUCCGGUGUAGCAGUGAAAUGCGUAGAGAUCGGAAGGAACAUCUGUGGCGAAGGCGACUAUCUGGGCCAACACUGACACUGAGGCACGAAAGCGUGGGGAGCAAACAGGAUUAGAUACCCGUGUAGUCCCUGUCUCUUAUAC
rnacentral:rRNA from 1 species